AUUGUUGAUAAUGAUGUUCAUUUCGUUGCAUUUGACAUGUUAGACCAACCGUGGAGACUGAAGAUCUCUGUGCGCAAGAAAGGUAAGUAUCUAAAACCUUGGAUAUGUGGUCAAUGGGGACUCUAUGUUCUUCAGAAAAAGCUCAGGCCAGUAGAUAGAGUUACCUUGACUAUGCAUGUGCUAGAGAAUGGUGUAAGAAAUUAUCGUAUCAUAGCUGAAAGGAAGCAUUUCGGUUUCUGGUAUUCCAUUGAUCACUAGUUUACUGCACAGGCAAGGUAGGGAUAUCUUCUGGAGCAAGUGUGGAGGCUUUCUUGUAGAAAAGUGAAGAGAUGAAAUAUAAGGGACACGGAAAUGGACUCAUAAGUAUAUAAUGAGCUUAAAAGAGUUUUUCUUUCUCUAACUUAAGCAAUUUUUAACUCGAUCAUCUUUGUUCUGCACUUUUCUUUUGCACAUGAGAUUAUAUGUUUUUACUUAAUUCCUGGUUUGCCAACAACUUACUGGCACUAGCUUUGAUAAUAAAUU